rnacentral:rRNA from 1 species
ACGGAGGGUGCAAGCGUUAAUCGGAAUUACUGGGCGUAAAGCGCACGUAGGUGGUUUGUUAAGCUAGCUGUGAAAUCCCCGGGCUCAACCUGGGCACUGCAAUUAGAACUGGCAAGCUAGAGUAGGGUAGAGGGGUGUGGAAUUCCAGGUGUAGCGGUGAAAUGCGUAGAUAUCAGGAGGAACACCGGUGGCGAAGGCGGGUCUCUGGGCCUUACCUGACGCUGAGGAGCGAAAGCAUGGGUAGCCAACAGGA